GAUGAACGCUAGCGGCAGGCCUAACACAUGCAAGUCGAGGGGUAACAGAGAAGCUUGCUUCUGCUGACGACCGGCGCACGGGUGCGUAACGCGUAUGCAACCUACCUCAUACAGGAGAAUAGCCCUUGGAAACGAGGAUUAAUACUCCAUAGUAUCAUUCUUUCGCAUGUUAGAAUGAUUAAAGAAUUUCGGUAUGAGAUGGGCAUGCGUCCCAUUAGCUUGUUGGUGAGGUAACGGCUCACCAAGGCAACGAUGGGUAGGGGGCCUGAGAGGGUGGUCCCCCACACUGGUACUGAGACACGGACCAGACUCCUACGGGAGGCAGCAGUGAGGAAUAUUGGUCAAUGGAGGAAACUCUGAACCAGCCAUGCCGCGUGAAGGAUGACGGCCCUAUGGGUUGUAAACUUCUUUUAUAUGGGAAGAAACUUAUCUACGUGUAGAUAACUGACGGUACCAUACGAAUAAGGAUCGGCUAACUCCGUGCCAGCCGCCGCCGUAACAC
rnacentral:rRNA from 1 species